rnacentral:ncRNA from 2 species
GCCGGGAUAGCUCAGUCGGUAGAGCAGAGG